rnacentral:misc_RNA from 1 species
CCACGGUUUCAAUUAAUUUAUAAUCAAUGUUUAUCACAAAAUAUUAGUUUGUAUAUUUGUUUUACUUUGUCGUUUAUAAAGUUCAUGAUGGAUGUUUAUAGUGUUUUUAACUGUCCGCGUCUCUAACUAAUACAUUCAGCAAAUCAAGAGAAGUUUUUGUUUUAGAAAAUAAUGCUUGGACACGUUGGUCCGGUUUACAAUAAAAUUAUAUGUGGUUAUAUGCCAAAUUAAAGUUUUUUCUGUAUAAUUAAGUACUCUGUGAAAAAUCAGGAUCAUGUCACCGAAAUGCUUAAACUGUGCCUUCAGAAAAUAUGCCAAAUGCAAGCGGAAAUGAAGCAGGAAGAAGAGAAUCCGCACGAUCCUGAGAUGGAAGGAUAUGCAGCAUGUGCUAUGGAAACCUUGAGGUUUCUGUCUGCUCAAGGCCUUCCGAACGACCAUCCCACUGUUAAAGCUCUUUACGAAAAGCUUUUUACGAAUAGCUUUUCCUGAGAAAGAGAGAGUUUUAGAGUUUAUUUUUAGGUACUUAGAAGGCGAAAAUCCCACAAUACUUGUUACUGAUUCAAAUUAGUCUAUACUAUAUUUCAAACAGCGUGUUCUUUCUAGUCAAUAGAUUUAGGAUUUUUUAUAAUCAUUUUUUAAUAAGUUGAUUUCAAUCAAAGGUAUUUUACGUAUUAGUUUGAUUGUUUUACUAACUAGGCAAAUAUGAGAGUGUGAAUUCACAUUGACGUAACUAAUAAGUUACUUGAUAAUAAAAAUUCACAUAACCCCUUAUGUGAAUAAUGAAUAAAUAAAAAUUGAUUUUAUAUAGCAUAUAAGGGCAAGUCUAGUCAUUAUACUUAAGUAUUUCAGCUUGUAUCUAGUCAUUUUUAGAUAGAUAAUAAUUAUAAUUUAUGUACCUAACUUAGUAAAUAAAAAAACCAUAAAUGAAA